rnacentral:rRNA from 1 species
UACGGGGGAGCAAGCGUUGUUCGGAUUUACUGGGCGUAAAGGGCGCGUAGGCGGCCUCUGCAAGUCGACUGUGAAAUCUCCGGGCUUAACCCGGAAAGGUCAGCCGAUACUGCAGGGCUAGAGUGCAGAAGGGGCAACUGGAAUUCUCGGUGUAGCGGUGAAAUGCGUAGAUAUCGAGAGGAACACCUGCGGCGAAGGCGGGUUGCUGGGCCGACACUGACGCUGAUGCGCGAAAGCUAGGGAGCGAACGGG